UACGUAGGGUGCGAGCGUUGUCCGGAAUUAUUGGGCGUAAAGGGCUCGUAGGCGGUUUGUCGCGUCGGGAGUGAAAUCCACUGGCUUAACUGGUGGCUUGCUUUCGAUACGGGCAGACUGGAGGUAUGCAGGGGAGAACGGAAUUCCUGGUGUAGCGGUGAAAUGCGCAGAUAUCAGAAGGAACACCAGCGGCGAAGGCGGCGCUCUGGGCCGGAACUGACGCUGAGGAGCGAAAGCGUGGGUAGCAAACAGG
rnacentral:rRNA from 1 species